rnacentral:lncRNA from 1 species
CAUGAGAGCAUCCGAAAGAAGCUAAUGUUCUUCAAUAUCGAAGACAUCAGUAAAGCUAGCAUGAAGGCCAUGCUGAUCAAGGAGAAGAAUAGCUUAAAGAAGGCAAGAAGGGUGAUGAAUUCAGGAAAGGUGAUGUGAAAUCAUGUCAGGAAAGGAAAAGAGCAAGAAGGAUGUCAACACAGCUUGGAAAAAUUAUUAUGAUAAUUAUAAUAUCCAUGGACAUAUAAAGAAAAAGUGUUAGGAGCUUCACCUUAAGUUGUAAUCGAAGAGGAAGAAACCAAAGGAUAAGGAUUCUAAGGAGAAAGGGAAGGCAAUCCUCAAUAUUAUAGAGGUUGAGAAGCUACUCAAGGUUGAGCAAACAUACUCAGAACUAGCCUAAUAGCAAGGAAAACCAACACAACAAUUGUGAGACUUAGAGGCAUGAGA